rnacentral:rRNA from 1 species
CCCUUAGAUGUUCUGGGCCGCACGCGCGCUACACUGAGUGUCUGAGAUACGAGUCUGCCUGGUCCGGCAAGGUCUAGGUAAUCGCUAAAAGACACAUCAUGCUUGGGAUAGAUUAUUGCAAAUAUUAAUCUUGAACGAGGAAUUCCUAGUAAGCGCAAGUCAACAGCUUGCGUUUAUUACGUCCCUGCCCUUUGUACACACCGCCCGUCGCUACUACUGAUUGGAUGUUUAAGCGAGGUUCUCGAACUGCUAGCGACUUAGCUUCGGUGAGGUCGCAGUGUGGGAAGUGAACCUAGCUUUGGUGUCUAGAGGAAGUAAAAGUCGUAACA